AGGGCACCCCCAGAUGUGGAGCUUGCGGCUUAAUUUGACUCAACACGGGAAAACUUACCCGGCCCGGACACUGGGAGGAUUGACAGGUUGAGAGCUCUUUCUUGAUUCAGUGGGUGGUGGGGCAUGGCCCUUCUUAUUUGGGGGAUCGAUUUGUUUGGUUAAAUCCGAAAACGAACCAGACCCUAGCCAACUAAAUAGACCGCCAACUUUUAAACGUCGGCGGGACUUCUAAAAGGGACAGGCUUUCAUCCAACCAAACAAAACAAACAUUUUUUCAGGUCUGUGAUGCCCUCACAGGUCCCGGGCCCCCCGCGUGCUACACUGAAGUGAUCAGCAUGCACCCCGUUCCUGCUCCGUCAGGAGAGGCUAACCCAUUGAACCUUCUUCGUGAUUGGGAGAUGAUAUUGUACUCACUCUCCUUGAAAGAGGAAUAUACAGCAAGCCCAAGUCAUAAGUUUGCGUUGAUUACGUCCCUGCCCUCUGCACACACCGUCCGUCGCUACUACCGAUUGUAUGAUU
rnacentral:rRNA from 1 species